rnacentral:rRNA from 1 species
GAUGAACGCUAACGAUAGGCUUAACACAUGCAAGUCGAGGGCAGCAUGGUCUUAGCUUGCUAAGACUGAUGGCGACCGGCGCACGGGUGCGUAACGCGUAUGCAACUUGCCUCACAGAGGGGGAUACCCGUCGAAAGACGGACUAAUACCGCGUACACUCCAGCUUGGGCAUCCAGGUUAGAGGAAGUGAAUUUCGCUGUGAGAUAGGCAUGCGUCCCAUUAGCUAGUUGGUGAGGUAACGGCUCACCAAGGCGACGAUGGGUAGGGGAACUGGGAGGUUGAACCCCCACACUGGUACUGAGACACGGACCAGACUCCUACGGGAGGCAGCAGUGAGGAAUAUUGGUCAAUGGGCGAGAGCCUGAACCAGCCAAGUCGCGAGAAGGAUGACUGUCUUAUGGAUUGUAAACUUCUUUUAUACGGGAAUAACAAGAGUCACGUGUGGCUCCCUGCAUGUACCGUA